AGAGUUUGAUCCUGGCUCAGGAUGAACGCUGGCGGCGUGCUUAACACAUGCAAGUCGAACGAAGCACUUUAUUACGAUUUCUUCGGAAUGACGGUUUAGUGACUGAGUGGCGGACGGGUGAGUAACGCGUGGGUAACCUGCCUUAUACAGGGGGAUAACAGUUAGAAAUGACUGCUAAUACCGCAUAAGCGCACAGGAUUGCAUGAUCUGGUGUGAAAAACUCCGGUGGUAUAAGAUGGACCCGCGUCUGAUUAGCUGGUUGGUGAGGUAACGGCCCACCAAGGCGACGAUCAGUAGCCGACCUGAGAGGGUGACCGGCCACAUUGGGACUGAGACACGGCCCAAACUCCUACGGGAGGCAGCAGUGGGGAAUAUUGCACAAUGGGGGAAACCCUGAUGCAGCGACGCCGCGUGGAGGAAGAAGGUCUUCGGAUUGUAAACUCCUGUUGUUGAGGAAGAUAAUGACGGUACUCAACAAGGAAGUGACGGCUAACUACGUGCCAGCAGCCGCGGUAAAACGUAGGUCACAAGCGUUGUCCGGAAUUACUGGGUGUAAAGGGAGCGCAGGCGGGAAGACAAGUUGGAAGUGAAAUCCAUGGGCUCAACCCAUGAACUGCUUUCAAAACUGUUUUUCUUGAGUAGUGCAGAGGUAGGCGGAAUUCCCGGUGUAGCGGUGGAAUGCGUAGAUAUCGGGAGGAACACCAGUGGCGAAGGCGGCCUACUGGGCACCAACUGACGCUGAGGCUCGAAAGUGUGGGUAGCAANACAGGAUUAGAUACCCUGGUAGUCCACACUGUAAACGAUGA
rnacentral:rRNA from 1 species